rnacentral:rRNA from 1 species
UACCAGCACCCCGAGUGGUCGGGACGAUUAUUGGGCCUAAAGCAUCCGUAGCCGGCCUUACAAGUCCCCCGUUAAAUCCAACUGCUUAACAGAUGGGCUGCGGAGGAUACUAUAAGACUAGGAGGCAGGAGAGGCAAGCGGUACUCAGUGGGUAGGGGUAAAAUCCAUUGAUCCAUUGAAGACCACCAGUGGCGAAGGCGGCUUGCCAGAAUGCGCUCGACGGUGAGGGAUGAAAGCGGGGGGAGCAAACAGG